rnacentral:piRNA from 1 species
UGAACCAGAAUGAUGGAAGGACAGGGCG